rnacentral:rRNA from 1 species
UACGUAGGGGGCUAGCGUUGUCCGGAAUCAUUGGGCGUAAAGCGCGUGUAGGCGGUCCGGUAAGUCCGCUGUGAAAGUCGGGGGCUCAACCCUCGAAUGCCGGUGGAUACUGUCGGGCUAGAGUGCGGAAGAGGCGAGUGGAAUUCCUGGUGUAGCGGUGAAAUGCGCAGAUAUCAGGAGGAACACCGAUGGCGAAGGCAGGUCUCUGGGCCAUAACUGACGCUGAGAAGCGAAAGCAUGGGGAGCGAACAGG